ensembl:ncRNA Y57A10B.9 ncRNA
GAUAUCAGAAAAAUGUCAGCUGAUAAAAUGUUUGUUAUUAAAUUUUGCAUAUUUUGUUAGUGAACCACAUUUU